rnacentral:lncRNA from 1 species
CAACCAUUUUUGAGAAAUUAAUCCAAGCCAUUCAUUAUAUCCCUAUCUAAGGGCCAAGAUCAUUUAUUUUAAUGACAAGACCAAAACCCUAGGGGUCCCUUCUUCUUCUUCAACCUUCACAAAAUACAAAAAAACCCUAGAGAACAAAAUAUACACACAACACAAAAGGGCUGAACCCUAAUCACACAAACUGACCAGCCGCCCAACACCAGCAGCCACCUAUAGCCGCCCAACACCAGCAGCCACCUAUAGCCGCCACCUCAUCUUCAACCUCAAAACUCGGCGGAAAACACUUCCCAUCAGCGACAUCUGCUGUUGUCCCUCACUUCUCGCCGCCGGAUCUCACAGCAGCCACCACUGUCGCCGUUGUUGCCUCUUCACCUCACCACCCAAACACACGCUGCUGACCCCUUUCUUCAUCUUCUCCAGAACAGCCGCCGCCGGAACCUAAACCAUCACCCCCCAGUUGUUGCCCGCUUCUUCGUCUUCCAUCUUCAACAAAAACGACCACCCUUCCCAGCCGUGAACUAGCCCUCAAACGAGACCCCCACCCCACCUAAACUCCUUCUUCUUCAGAGAACACCCUAACACAAACAGCAGACCCUCCCCCCUCAUCGUCGAACCUCUCACGCCGCCAGCUUCUACACCGCCGAACACCACCUCCAAGCCGCUACUCCUUUCCUUCUUCUCAGGGACAACAACAAAAACACGCACACAUGAGGAUAUCGAAAAACAGAACAGAAAAGUAAAAUUUUCAAGGACACGCAUAGAUAUAAUAUAGCAGGCCCGAACAGAGAGAAAAAAUGGAGAGUCAGUGAGAGUUUUGAUUUUCUUCUUACCAAAUUUCUGAAAAAGCAAAAACACAAAAAAUAGUCCUUUUAAAAAAAUAAUAAUUCAGAAACCUAUAUAAAAUAGCUUAUUUCCAUUUUUAACUUUUGGAUCCGGAUUUGGUUUUUGAAAUGAUGAGAUUCCAGUGAGUGAUUGUAGAGUAGGAUUCGUUGAUAUUUGAAGUGCCGUUCGAGCAUUGUUGUCGGUUCGCUGUUCUUGGAACGAGUUCCAGCAGCUCGCUCAGUUGAAUUGCUUUUGGUUUCAACAAAGGUUCACUUCUUGCUUUCUCUAGUGUUGCUGUUUCUAUUGUUGUGACUAUGUGAUUUUGUUUAGAU